GAAACGGCUACCACAUCUAAGGAAGGCAGCAGGCGCGUAAAUUACCCACUCCCAGUACGGGGAGGUAGUGACGAAAAAUAACAAUACAGGACUCAUAUCCGAGGCCCUGUAAUUGGAAUGAGUACACUUUAAAUCCUUUAACAAGGACCGAUUGGAGGGCAAGUCUGGUGCCAGCAGCCGCGGUAAUUCCAGCUCCAAUAGCGUAUAUUAAAGUUGUUGCGGUUAAAACGUUCGUAGUUGAAAGUGUGCUUCAUACGGGUAGUACAACUACAAUUGUGGAUUGUACAUUACCUUAUGUAUGAGAGCGUAUUAUCGGUGGAGUUCUAAUAUAUGUUGAUACUUGUAUUGUCAUGUAUACCUCCUUCACCUGCUUCAGUGCUCUUUACCGAGUGCUGUUGUGGGCCGAUACUUUUACUUUGAACAAAUUAGAGUGCUUAAAUCAGGCUCCAAAUGCUUGAAUAUUCUGUGCAUGGAAUAAUGAAAUAUGAAUUCUGAUCUACUUUCAUUGGUUUUUAGAUCAAGAAUUAAUGAUAAAUAGAAGCAGUUUGGGGGCAUUAGUAUUACGACGCGAGAGGUGAAAUUCUUGGACC
rnacentral:rRNA from 2 species